UAGUGGUUCUGGCAACCAUAAUCUGCGAGAGAGACGACUUAGUAGGGGAAGUAAACACCGAUACGGUACCGAGAUUCUGCUUCAAGGAAAGAGACCAUGGAUCUGGCGUCGAGAUCAUCGAUCUGACAUCGAACCCUGAGGAGCAGCCGCUUCUGCUGGGAAGAUACAGUCUGGCACUGUCAACUCCGCUGGGGAUAUAUAUUCUGGCACUGUCAACUCUACUGGGGAGUGUAUA
rnacentral:lncRNA from 1 species